rnacentral:rRNA from 1 species
AUUGAACGCUGGCGGCAGGCUUAACACAUGCAAGUCGAGCGAGUGGCGGACGGGUGAGUAAUGUCUGGGAAACUGCCUGAUGGCGGGGGAUAACUACUGGAAACGGUAGCUAAUACCGCAUACUAUCAGAUGUGCCCAGAUGGGAUUAGCUAGUGGGUGGGGUAAUGGCUCACCUAGGCGACGAUCCCUAGCUGGUCUGAGAGGAUGACCGGCCGCACUGAAACUGAGACACGGUCCAGACUCCUACGGGAGGCAGCAGAGGGGAGUAUUGCACGAUGGGCGCAAGCCUGAUGCAGCCAUGCCGCGUGUUUGAAGAAGGCCUUCGGGUUGUAAAGCACUUUCGGCGAGGAGGCGUUACUCGCAGAAGAAGCACCGGCUAACUCCGUGCCAGCAGCCGCGGUAAUUC